rnacentral:rRNA from 1 species
UACAGAGGUCUCAAGCGUUGUUCGGAUUCAUUGGGCGUAAAGGGUGCGUAGGCGGCGCGGUAAGUCGGGUGUGAAAUCUUGGAGCUUAACUCCGAAACUGCAUUCGAUACUGCCGUGCUUGAGGACUGGAGAGGAGACUGGAAUUUACGGUGUAGCGGUGAAAUGCGCAGAUAUCGGGAGGAACACCGGUGGCGAAGGCGGUUCUCUGGGCCUUACCUGACGCUGAGGAGCGAAAGCGUGGGGAGCAAACAGG